UUUUAGUUGGACCAGCUGUAAUCAAUUGUUUAUCUGUAUCUUAGGGAAAUGAUUUUUUUUUCCUUUCUUAUUUAGGCUUCUGAAAUUGUGUACGGUUUUCAUAAUUUAUUUCCUCCGUAAUUCAUAUUUAUUGUUAUCCAUUACUUUUUUUGUUUAUUUCUUUUCCUAGGUACGGGUAGAAGGGCCCGUUCAGAAAGUCUCUGAUGAGGAAUCGGAAGAAUAUUUCCAUAGCCGUCCUAGAGGAAGUCAGAUUGGAGCAAUAGUUAGCAAGCAGAGUACUGUAGUACCUGGUAGGCAUGUUCUUUAUCAGGAGUACAAAGAACUGGAACAAAAAUACGCCGAUGGAAGUAUGAUCCCUAGACCUAACUGGGGAGGAUAUAGACUCACACCACAACUUUUUGAGUUUUGGCAAGGACAGAAAUCUCGCUUGCACGACAGGUUGCAAUAUACUCCCCAUGAGAUCAAUGGACAGCGGCUGUGGAAGAUUGAGCGGUUGGCUCCCUGAUAAUAUUUUUUCUGUUAAAUAUCUCAAUUUGUGAAGAGCAAAGGAAAUAAAGUUGUAUUUAAAUGUCAGCCUCUUUUUUCUUUCGUCA